rnacentral:rRNA from 1 species
AACGAACGCUGGCGGCAGGCUUAACACAUGCAAGUCGAGCGCCUCGCAAGAGGAGCGGCAGACGGGUGAGUAACGCGUGGGAAUCUACCCAUCUCUACGGAAUAACUCAGGGAAACUUGUGCUAAUACCGUAUACGCCCUUAGGGGGAAAGAUUUAUCGGAGAUGGAUGAGCCCGCGUUGGAUUAGCUAGUUGGUGGGGUAAAGGCCUACCAAGGCGACGAUCCAUAGCUGGUCUGAGAGGAUGAUCAGCCACAUUGGGACUGAGACACGGCCCAAACUCCUACGGGAGGCAGCAGUGGGGAAUAUUGGACAAUGGGCGCAAGCCUGAUCCAGCCAUGCCGCGUGAGUGAUGAAGGCCCUAGGGUUGUAAAGCUCUUUCACCGGAGAAGAUAAUGACGGUAUCCGGAGAAGAAGCCCCGGCUAACUUCGUGCCAGCCGCCGCAGUAACAC